rnacentral:rRNA from 1 species
UACGUAGGGUGCAAGCGUUUGUCCGGAAUUAUUGGGCGUAAAGAGCUCGUAGGCGGUUUGUCGCGUCUGCUGUGAAAUCCCGAGGCUCAACCUCGGGCCUGCAGUGGGUACGGGCAGACUAGAGUGCGGUAGGGGAGAUUGGAAUUCCUGGUGUAGCGGUGGAAUGCGCAGAUAUCAGGAGGAACACCGAUGGCGAAGGCAGAUCUCUGGGCCGUAACUGACGCUGAGGAGCGAAAGCGUGGGGGAGCGAACAGG